CUGACUUUGUACCCCUGGUGGGAGGGAGCCUAACAGAGACCUGCAGGACUGUUUUUGUAGACUGGAUUCUUUCUUUUAAAGCAUGUUCCUGUUCUUCUGCUUUCACAAGCAACCUACUAACGGCAAUCUUAAUAAUCUGAAUGCACAUUCCUCCAUCUCCUCCCUACCUCCUUGUCCAGACACCUGUGCACCCGGGCAUGUACAGGUCCACGUACAUGACGGACUACAGGCCAUACACAGGCUGCCAUGAACACCUGCCCAUCAAGGAUCGCUCACAGAAACUGAAACUGGAAGCCCAGCUCAAGAAGAAAGAGUUCGAGAGGCCUGUUGAAUGUCAGCCGGUGAAGUACAUCGAAGAGCCUGGCUGUCAAGAAGUUAGACCACCGUAUCCCAUCAGAAUGGAUGGGAGGUUGUCAAAAGGACACCAAGCUCCACCAUNGUUUGAGCAGGUCCAAGAAGAUCAGCAAAGCUUAUAUCCACCUGUAAUCCAGCAGCAGGAAGAAGAAAGGCCACCUCAGCAAACAGUUGUGCCUCCUAUGUCAGGUCAUCUAGGCACUCCCUGUAUUGAUCACGAACAGGGCCAGAACUGGAAUGACUACCAUCAGUUCAUCUUGGAAAUGCAGAGAGCCAAUCAUAUUCAGCUGAAAGAAAUUAAGAAAUCACACCUGGGGUCAUCUGUGUUUCCACCAGGUCAGUUCAAC
rnacentral:lncRNA from 1 species